GUAGGUGGCAAGCGUUGUCCGGAAUUAUUGGGCGUAAAGCGCGCGCAGGCGGUUCUUUAAGUCUGAUGUGAAAGCCCACGGCUCAACCGUGGCGGGUCAUUGGAAACUGGAGAACUUGAGUACAGAAGAGGAAAGCGGAAUUCCACGUGUAGCGGUGAAAUGCGUAGAGAUGUGGAGGAACACCAGUGGCGAAGGCGGCUUUCUGGUCUGUAACUGACGCUGAGGCGCGAAAGCGUGGGGGAGCAAACAGGAUUAGAUACCCUGGUAGUCCACGCCGUAAACGAUGAGUGCUAAGUGUUAGGGGGUUUCCGCCCCUUAGUGCUGCAGCUAACGCAUUAAGCACUCCGCCUGGGAGUACGGCCGCAAGGCUG
rnacentral:rRNA from 1 species